GACAGAGGGUGCAAACGUUGUUCGGAAUCACUGGGCGUAAAGCGCGUGUAGGUGGCUUGGCAAGUCGGGCGUGAAAUCCCGGGGCUCAACCCCGGAAGUGCACUCGAUACUGCCUAGCUAGAGUCCUGGAGAGGAAGGUGGAAUACUUGGUGUAGAGGUGAAAUUCGUAGAUAUCAAGUAGAACACCGGUGGCGAAGGCGGCCUUCUGGACAGUGACUGACGCUGAGACGCGAAAGCGUGGGGAGCAAACAGGAUUAGAUACCCCCGUAGUCC
rnacentral:rRNA from 1 species